rnacentral:misc_RNA from 1 species
GUAAAGUCCAAUUGUAAUGAGGAGGGGAAAAGGAGAUCUUAGGAUUGACUUUUUGCUUAUUUAUCACAUAGUCCUUGUGCUUAUCUGCAUAAAAUAGUGUUUAUUAGCUAUAUUAUGGUUUGAUUUGCAAAUUAUUUAGUAUAUUUGUUUUUAAUUUUUUUUAAUUAGAAUUGUUAUUUACCUUUUCAUCUAUGGUGACAAAUGUUUCCUUUCCAAUUUUAUUUUCAUUCUGAAUAAUUUUGUUGUUUUCAUGAAGAUGGCUGCUAUAUGCGAAACA